GCGACCUCAGCUUAGGUGAGAACACCCGCUGAGUUUAAGCAUAUAAUUAAGUGGAGGAAAAGAAACUUACAAGGAUUCCCCUAGUAGCAGCGAGGGAAUCGGGAAGAGCCCAGCAUGAAAAUUGGGCAGCAGCGUCGCCUGAAUUGUAGUCUGUAGAAGCGUCCUCAGCGGUGGACCUGGGCCAAGUCCUUUGGAAGGGGGCACCUGAGAGGGUGACAGCCCCGUCGGCCCGGGACCCUGCUGCAUCAUGAGGCGUUGUCGGCGAGUCGGGUUGUUUGGGAAUGAAGCCCUAAUUGGGUGGUAAAUUCCAUCCAAGGCUAAAUACGAGCGAGAGACCGAUAGCGAACAAGUACCGUGAGGGAAAGAUGAAAAGGACUUUGAAAAGAGAGUUAAAGAGUUCUUGAAAUUGCUGGGAGGGAAGUAGAUGGAGAUUGUCGAUGCAUCUCGGUCAGAUGUGGAACGGCUUAGGCUGGUCCGCCGCUCGACUUGAGGUGAAAACCAACACGGGCUACUGCAUCGUCACAAACACAGCUGUAUUUCCGCCUGUUGGUUUGCCACUACGGUGGUCGAGGAAUGAAGCAUGAGCCAUUGAGGCGAGCUGUGUGCACCUAGGCGCUCAUGGUGUUGGUUAGCGGGCUUUCCAUUCGACCCGUCUUGAAACACGGACCAAGGAGUUUAACAUGUGUGCGAGUCGGUGGGUUUGAAAACCUGGGAGGCGCAAGGAAGCUGACAGGCAAGAUCUCCUCUCUUGGGGGGUGCAUCGUCGAUCGACCUUGAGCUUAUGUGAAGGGUUCGAGUGCGAGCACACCUGUUGGGACCCGAAAGAUGGUGAACUAUGCCUGAGCAGGGUGAAGCCUGAGGAAACUCUGGUGGAGGCUCGUAGCGAUACUGACCAUCUAGUAGCUAGUUUCCUCUAAAGUUUCCCUCAGGAUAGCUGGAGCUCACACGCGAGUUUUAUCGAGUAAAGAAAAUGAUUAGAGGCAUCGGGGGCGUAAUGCCCUCGACCUAUUCUCAAACUUUAAACAGAUAAGAGGGUGCAACUGCUCCAUUGAGCCGCACCGUGGAAUCAAAAGCUCCAAGUGGGCCAUUUUUCGUAAAUAGAACUGGCGAUGCGGGAUGAACCAAAAGUCAAGUUACGGUACCGAAUUGCAUGCUAACCUAGAUCGCACAAAGGGUGUUGGUUGACUAAGACAGCAAGACGGUGGUCAUGGAAGUCGAAAUCCGCUAAGUAGUGUGUAACAACUCACAUACUGAAUCAACUAGCCCCAAAAAUGGAUGGUGCUGAAGCACGCAACCUAUACUCGACCGUCAGAGUAAUUGCCUGGCUCCGAUGAGUAGGAAGAUGCUGGGGUCAUUGAGAAACCUCAGACGUGAGCUUGGGUGGAUCGGCCCCCGGUGCAGAUCUUGGUGGUAGUAGCAAAUAUUCAAAUGAGAACUUUGAAGACUGAAGUGGGGAAAGGUUCCAUGUGAACAACACUUGGACAUGGGUUAGUCGAUCGUAAGAGAUGGGGAAGCCUUGUAUCAAGGGUGCAAUCUGCAUGAGCAUCAAAAGGGAAUCGGGUUAAUAUUCCCUAACCGAGACAGGGCGGCGGGCGACAACGUUAGGAAAUUCGGAGACGUCGUCGGGGGCCCCGGGAAGAGUUAUCUUUUCUUUUUAACAGCUUGCCCACCCUGGAAUCGGUUCACCCAGAGAUAGGGUCUAGCAGCUGGAAGAGCACUGUACAUCUUGCGGUGUCUGGUGCACCCUCGGCAGCCCUUGAAAAUCUGGAGGACCGAGUACCAUUCAUGCCCGGUCAUACUCAUAACUGCAUCAGGUUUCCAAGGUGAACAACCUCCGGUCAAUAGAACAAUGUAGGUAAGGGAAGUCGAAAAAAUGGAUCCAUAACUUCAGGAAAAGGAUUGGCUCUGAGGGCUGGGCCUAGGGGUCUGCACCCUCAACUUGUGGGCUGUCGGCAGUCUGCCUGAGCUGCUCUUGCGGUGAGGCCGGGCAGUCGCAUGUCGAUUGGACUACGGGCAUAGAAUGCCCCCUGCCGAGGGCUUUUCCCUAGGCGUCGAACAAUUGAAUUAGAACUGGUACGGACAAGGGGAAUCUAACUAUUUCAUUAAAACAAAGCAUUGCGAUGGUCCCUAUAGAUGAUGACACAAUGUGAUUUAUGCCCAGUGCUCUGAAUGUCAAAGUGAAGAAAUUCAACCAAGUGCGGGUAAACUGCGGGAGUAACUAUGACUCUCUUAAGGUAGCCAAAUGCCUUGUCAUCUAAUUAGUGACUUGCAUGAAUGGAUUAAUGAGAUUCCCACUGUCCCUAUCUACUAUCUAGUGAAACCAUAGCCAAGGGAACAUGAUUGGCAGAAUCAGCGGGGAAAGAAGACCCUGUUGAGCUUGACUCUAGUCCAACUUUUUGAAAUGACUUGAGAGGUGUAGAAUAAGUGGGAGCCGUUUUCGGCGCAAGUGAAAUACCACUACUUUUAAUGUUAUUUUACUUAUUCUGUGGGGUGGAGACGGAAAACUUCCCCUGUUUUUGGUCUUAAGGCACGUUUUGGCGGGUUGAUCUGGGCAGAAGACAUUGUCAGGUGGGGAUUUUGGCUGGGGAAGCACAUCUGUUAAAAGAUAAUGCAGGUGUCCUAAGAUGAGCUCAACGAGAAUAGAAAUCUCAUGUGGCACAAAAGGGUAAAAGAUCAUUUGAUUUUUAUUUUCAGUACGAAUACAAACUGUGAAAGCAUGCCCUAUUGAUCCUUUAGAUUUUCGGAAUUUGAAGCUAGAGGUGUCAGAAAAGCUACCUCAGGGAUAACUGGCUUGUGGCAGCCAAGCAUUCAUAGCAACGUUGCUUUUUGAUCCUUCGAUAUCGGCUCUUCCUAUCAUUGUGAAGCAGAAUUCACCAAGUGUUGGAUUGUUCACCCACCAAUAGGGAACGUGAGCUAGGUUUAGACCAUCGUGAGACAAGUUAUUUUUACCCUACUGAUGAACCAGACUGCAAUAGUAAUUCAACUUAGUAUGAGAGGAACCGUCGAUUCACACAAUUUUGUCAUCGUGCUCGGUUGAAAAGCUAGUGGCGUGAAGCUACCAUGUGUCGGAUUAUGACUGAAUGCCUCUAAGUCAGAAUCCAUGCUAGAAGCGGUGCAUGUCACUCUUCGACUGUAUCUCGACCCGCAGUAGGGGUGUUUCUUUGUCGCCCCCAAGGGCCCGUGUCAUUUGCAAACCGCGAUUGUGAAGCAUCUCGAUUGGGGCAGCUUUGAAGUUCAAUUCCAAAUGUUCAUUGAGAAGAAUCCUUUGCAGACGACUUAAAUAU
rnacentral:rRNA from 1 species